rnacentral:tRNA from 1 species
UGGGGGAUAGUUUAGAGGUAGAACUGCCGGCUCUGGACCGGCCAACCUUGGUUCGAAUCCAGGUCCCCCAGCCA